GGUUGAAAGGACGGAAAUGCCCCUUAGCCUAAAAUAGUCAUUUCAUCUGCUCUCUCUCUUUCACGGUUUCACUCUCCCUCUCUCUCUCUCUCUCUCUCUCUUCCUUCGAGCUUAGAUUGCCGGCGAAGCGCCGCUGCCCCGGCCUCGUCGCCUCCGCCAUCUCCUGCUUCACCCCCCGCCGCGACUUUAGCCUCCCAUGUAGAAGAGCAUACCGGAGAUGUACAGAAGAGGCGCGAAGAGGAAAAUCCCCUGACGCUUGAGGAGGAAAGAGAGCAGGAUCCAGACGAGGCGCUGCGCGAGCGUCUUGGGCGGCGGGCGGCCCGAUUUGGAGCCGCGGUGGCGGUAGCGCGGGGAGUGACAAGUGUUUCCCCUUCACAAGUUCGGCCACCGCCCUUGCCCUCAGAUUUUCCGGCGAUAGCAGCAAACUAUAGCAAUCGCUGCCUCAUUGUCGAGGCUAAAGCCAAUCAAAGGUGCGUGCUUUCAUUUUGAUUUCAAAUCUGUUGAUCCCCAAAUUUAGGGCUUUUUUUCUAAUCGAUUCCAUCCAUUAAUUUUAUCGGUUCAAAUCCAAAGUACAUCAUAAGACUUCAGUUCUAUUUUUUAUGUUUACUAAAAUUGUGUAGCAGAAGCAGAUACUCUUUGGAUAAAGAAAUGGUGUAUUUUUCGAGUUGUUAUGAUUAUCAUUAGCAAUUUUGGGGCUUAGUAUGAUAUGAAUUGCACCAGCAUUGUAUGAAGUUGCAUUGGUCUCUCGAAUUAGCAGAAGUCUUCCAUUCACUCCCUUCUCGAUCUUCCUUCGCCCCGCGAUGUAGACCCAGUCAGUUAUUUAUCUCUCUCUCUGUCUCUCUCUAAUGGGUUCUUAAUCUUUGGAUUUUUUUUAAGUGUAAUUGCAGGUUUUGGCGUGCCUUCGUUUGAUUAUCAGGAAUUGCGUGCACAAAAACAUAGAAGAAUGUGAUGGUUUGAAGCUUUUUCCAGCUAAUCUUCCUCUGCAACUGCAGAGGAUGCUUCUUGCACCGUUGCAGAAGCUUCGAAACUAUUGGAAGGAAGAGCUCUCUCGAGAACCGAAUGCAUCAGGAUGGACCAGUCAUGUGAACAUUUCCUCUUCAGCAGUUUGUGGGUCGUUGUUGUCGCUGCAAGUUGAUCCAGCUUCUCGUUUCAAUUCUCCGAAUAUUGGAGGUCGGAUACCAAUCACUGCUGAAAGAAAUGUGGCAUGUUUUCCAGAGUUAACUCUUCAAAGUGAGAUUGGCCCUACUGAAAUUCCGGUGAAGUUCACUAUUCUCCAAUUAUCAUAUAUGUUGUUUCAAAUAUUGUAUGUAUGAAGAACUUUUUGAUUAGUUUUUGUUAGUAUGUACGAAGAAUUUUUGUAUGAGAUGAAAAAACUUUUGUGUUAAGAACUUGAUCCUCAGCAACAUAGCUUUUGUGUUAAGAACUUUUGUAUUUUGGUGUUGUACAAGAAUUUGAUCGAAAUGUAUGAUUAUUUUUUUAAUGUUCUUAAA